rnacentral:rRNA from 1 species
UGGGGAAUAUUGGACAAUGGGCGCAAGCCUGAUGCAGCCAUGCCGCGUGUAUGAAGAAGGCCUUCGGGUUGUAAAGUACUUUCAGCGGGGAGGAAGGCGAUAAGGUUAAUAACCUUGUCGAUUGACGUUACCCGCAGAAGAAGCACCGGCUAACUCCGUGCCAGCAGCCGCGGUAAUACGGAGGGUGCAAGCGUUAAUCGGAAUUACUGGGCGUAAAGCGCACGAAGGCGGUCUGUCAAGUCGGAUGUGAAAUCCCCGGGCUCAACCUGGGAACUGCAUUCGAAACUGGCAGGCUAGAGUCUUGUAGAGGGGGGUAGAAUUCCAGGUGUAGCGGUGAAAUGCGUAGAGAUCUGGAGGAAUACCGGUGGCGAAGGCGGCCCCCUGGACAAAGACUGACGCUCAGGUGCGAAAGCGUGGGGAGCAAACA